ensembl:lncRNA
UCUUUGCUGUGUGAGGGCCUUCUCCAGCUGCACUGAGCAAGGGCUACUCUGUAGUUGCAGUGCGCGGGCUUCUCAUUGCAGUGGCUUCUUUUGUUGUGGAGUACGGGCAUGGACUGCCGCCAUGUCCUACCCACCAGUUGCGUAGUGCGCAUGUUGCUCCAGGACCUUGCUUCAGAAAUUGGUCAUGUAUGGAUGUGAGAGUUGGACUGUGAAGAAAGCUGAGCGCUGAAGAAUUGAUGCUUUUGAACUGUGGCAUUGGAGAAGACUCUUGAGAGUCCCUUGGACUGCAAGGAGAUCCAACCAGUCCAUUCUGAAGGAGAUCAGCCCUGGGUGUUCUUUGGAAGGACUGAUGCUAAAGCUGAAACUCCAGUACUUUGGCCACCUCAUGCGAAAAGUUGACUCAUUGGAAAAGACUCUGAUGCUGGGAGGGAUUGGGGGCAGGAGGAGAAGGGGACGACAGAGGAUGAGAUGGCUGGAUGGCAUCACCGACUCGAUGGACAUGAGUUUGAGUGAACUCUGGGAGUUGGUGAUGGACAGGGAGGCCUGGCGUGCUGUGAUUCAUGGGGUCACAAAGAGUCGGACACGACUGAGUGACUGAACUGAACUGAAUAUAUAUAAAAGAAAUUAAGAUCUCAUUAAUGAACCCACAAGAAUAAUAUUUUGCAAGUAGUAAAUACAUCACACAGUAUCAUCUAAGAGUUGGAAGUGUCCUCGGAGAAGUCAGGUAUCCUACCUGUUGCAUGAAUUUCCUCUACAACAUCCUGAAUGCUAUCUCCAGCCUCUGCCCAGGUUCCAACAUGGACAAAACCAUUUUCUUAAAACAGUUGAUUAGAGUGCUGGAUUCCUGUAACUGUUACAGCCCUUUCUAAUACUGAACUUAAAUCUAUUUCCUCUGGAUCCCACCCGUGCUGCUAAUCUCUUAAAAUUUUUUUUCUUCCCUUCUGGGCAGUACAAUGGCUCUAAACGUGCUGGGCUGGCCUUUAAACUGAAAUUGAAAAAUCAGUGGGUGGUACAAAGCAUACGAGUGUUUAAAUAUGCUUUAUGGAUGGUUGUUUGAACUGGAUCCUUCAAAGAAUGUAAAGGGAUAAAGAAAAUUUGAGAAUGCUUCAUUUUUUUCUCAUUUGUUCUAUUUUUAAGCACCCCUAUCACACUAUUUGACUCAUCUAAGUGAAAUAGGGAUCUUUGGACUAAAGUGAAAGUGAAAUGAAAGUGUUAGUCGCCCAGUGGUGUCCAACUUUUUGCAAACCCAUGGACUGUAGCCCACCAGGCUCCUCAGUCCACGGAAUUCUCCAGGCAAGAAUACUGGAAUGAGUAGCCAUUUCCUUCUCCAGGGAUCUUCCUGACCCAGGGAUUGAACCCAGGUCCCCUCAUUGCAGGCAGAUUUUUUACCAUCUGAGCCACCUGAGAUGCCCUGGAAUUCAAUUAUCUGUGGGCAUGAUUGGUAU